AAAGUAAUUUUUUUACUAUGAUUAGCACCGUCUAUUUAUAUGUGUUUCUAUCCGGCAGUAACCAUCCAACCCCUUAUCCCCGAAAUUUUUGGAUCAUCCACUCAGCCGGCGAACGCCUCACCCUGCCGUCAAGAUGGCCAGACCAGCUGGGAUGCGGUGAAGAAGGAGCGGCUAGUGCAGUCAGCACAGCUAGGGGUCGCCAAACUCCACAUCGGAGUGGCGUUAGAGGACCUGCCGUUGAGGGGGAGCCGCCGUCAUCCGAUCAGAUCUGGAGCCACCGUCGCCAUGGCUCUCCACCGCGGAGGCCUAGGCAGCCAAGGACACGAGGUGACUGCCAAGCUCCUCCAACGCCUGCCGCAGCGCCGUCCACCCCUCCCGCCAUCGGCGAUGUUCAUGAAGGAAACGGGAUGUAACCCGAUCCGCUGGGACCAGCGCCGGUGGCACCAGGAGAGCCGCGACAGGUCCGGGGCAUCAGGCAUGGCUUCCUCCUCCUUGCUCAUCACGGACCAGCGCUGUAUCGGUGAGACCUGGCGGCUGGAGGCUGGCCGUCCCUGUGCUAUGCGUGGAUUCCAGGCAGAUUUGGCGCUGAUGGCUGACAUUGCCUGCGCAGGGCCACACCUGCUGCUCGUCAAUUUCUUCCCUAUCUACAAGCUGGGUCCUCACCAACACCUGCGACACUUCUCAUAUUGCCGGCACCCAAAGACAGCCGAGGACUUCCUGAAGCUGAGCCCCGGCCGCAAGCUGUGGUUGGUAUUCACACUCCACUAUGAUUGAUGGAACUGAUGGUUUGGGUGUUGCUGAUUUGGGAGUUGGUGACAUUGAAACAACCACUGAUUGCACAAACACAUCAAAUAUAUGUUUUUUGCUGUGCCAAAGGAAUAAGAUGAAGUUUCUGAAAUUUGAUAUCCACUGACACCCUGCUGAAAUCAAACAUGGCACUAUUAUUAUAGCAGCAACCGCUGACUGCUCACUCAAACACAUCAAAUCCUCAAACCUCAGCUGCGAUGCUAGCUCAUGGAGCUUGAGACCGUGUGUUCUGCAUGCAGAGUACUCGAGCAUAUUGUAAUUUUGGUGCAGUACUACAGUGGCAUGGAAACAAUGUGCCGGCGUCCCUUAGUCAUGGCUCUGCCCAGCCAACCCGACGAAGUGGUCAUAUGCUUAGUGUGUAAAAAUUUUAUUGUUCGCAGUGUUUGUGUAGUUUAGCUUGUAAUUCAAUGUGAUAAUCGUCAGUAAAAACUUUAUCUAUCGAUGUAUUAUUGCGGUGAAAGUUUGACCUCAAUCUUUUCACCCCAAUAAAAUAGAGUAAAUAAAUUACUCAAACAAUCUUUUGUCCCAA